rnacentral:ncRNA from 1 species
UUGAGAUCUAAGAAGGCCUGGGAUGUUUGUAAAAUUCGACCUGGUCAAGGGGGUACAGUACUUCAAUCAUUCUACUUCGUGAACUCAUACAAACGAUGCGACUCGGGCUUAAAUAAACCGGACCUGGUGGGAAUCCGACAGAAUCACAUUUAUGUGAUAGACGUUCAGAUUGUGACAGACGGACAUUCCUUAGACUAAGCGCACCAGCGCAAGGUCGAAAGGUACAACAGAGCUGACAUAAGAUCACAAAUGCGGCGAUUUUUCGGAGUGACAGGUGAAAUCGAGUUUCAUUCCGUUACACUCAACUGGAGAGGAAUCUGGAGCGGUCAGUCGGUAAAACGAUUGAUUGCAAAAGAUCUCCUCAUCGUUGAAGAUACCAAACUUAUCAGCGUCAGAGCAGUAAAUGGCGGAGUGACGUCUUUCAAAUAUUUCAUGUAUUGUGCUGGGUAUACUCGAAGCUAGAUGUACUAACCUCUAGUUUCUCUUAUAAUUUUGCCUGCUACCUUGGCAUUCCAUCUAAAAAAGUACAGACAUCGCAUUGUCAAAAAGAGGUGGUUUUAGUGCGUAGGCGCUGUGGGACUUCAUUGUCCCUAUGAUGCAGCGAAUCGUGCAUACGAGAUUGUCCAGUAGUUGGUUGCUCGUAUCUUUAGAAGAUAGCCAAAUGCCUCGUCAUCUAAUUAGUGACGCGCAUGAAUGGAUUAACGAGAUUCCUACUGUCUCUAUCUACUGUCUAGCGAAACCACA